GAAGAGCUUUGAAAAUUUUUCAGAUGACUUUUACUACUUAGCCUCAACUUUCAACUAUUAAUUUUUGCAACUAUUAGCUUCUAUAUCAGCAGUGAUUUCAAUAUCUUCAUUUCCUUCAAAUGAGGUGAUUCCUAAAUGCCGAGAUUUUUGGCGAUAAGAGCAGGCAGAAUCCCAAGAUCGAACCAAAAAAUGUUUUGAUAGCAUAACCAACUAGGUCAGUCUUCUUCUUCUGAAUCCAUACUUGGGGUUGUCAUGGCUGUGGCUGAAGGUAGGGAUCUUCUUCUUCUGAAUCCAUACUUGGGGUUUUCAUAGCCGUAGCUGAAGGUAGGGCUUCAAUAACUGCAUCGGCCAGAUCAGUAAUGAAGGUUGGGUUGCAACCGAGAGCAGGGACACGGCCCCAAUUUUCAAUUCCAGAUUCCAGAGCCAAUUCCUUGUACUCCCUAUCAAUCUCGUCGAGUGUCUCUAUGUGCUCA
rnacentral:lncRNA from 1 species